rnacentral:rRNA from 1 species
GAUCCUGGCUCAGGAUGAACGCUAGCUACAGGCUUAACACAUGCAAGUCGAGGGGCAGCAUGGACCCAGCUUUGCUGGGUUUGAUGGCGACCGGCGCACGGGUGAGUAACGCGUAUCCAACCUGCCCUUUACUCCGGGAUAGUCUCCUGAAAGGGAGUUUAAUACCGGAUGUGUUUGUCUUUCCGCAUGGGAGCGACAAAUAAAGAUUGAUUGGUAAAGGAUGGGGGAUGCGUCCCAUUAGCUUGUUGGG